CGAGACGCCGUAGUUUACGUCCACAGCAGGCGAGGCCAAGGCUAGGCGCUGGCGGCCGCCUGCAGGAAGGUCUCCAGGCCAUGGACCCGCGGCUACCAAAUACUGAAGGGCCCAGGAAGGAUCCGUGGCAGCCCGGGCCUGAGAUGAGUUUAGAGUCCUUGUUUCAGCACAUCAUCUUCUCGGAGCAUCAGGCGGAGGAGAGUCGCCGCUUGAUCCGAGAAGUAAGGUCGGAAAUUAACAGAUGUCGUGAAGACAUUAAGAAAGGAACUGAGAUGCUGAAUGAAGAGAAAAUCAAGUUGGAAUCCAAGGUUCAGGAAUUUUCUGAAAAAACUUUCCUCUUACAGCUUUGGAAGAUUCAUGAAAAUGCCUUAGAAAGACAGUGUAGUGAAAUUACAAACCAGAGGAAUAUGCUUCUCCAAACUUUUGAGGCUACAAAGAAAAAAGUGAUAGAAGAGGAGGAAAAAUUUAUUAAGGAAAUUGCAGACUUCAAUAAUGAGUAUGAAGUAACAAAGAAAAGAGAGCUGUUGAUAAAAGAAAAUGUCCAGAUUGAAAUAUCUGACUUAGAAAACCAGGCAAACACUUUGAAAAGAGAAAUGAAGACAAUGGAACACGAUAGUGACCAGUUAAGUGAACUUCAAAAACAAAAGGAUGAAUUAAUACAAGAAUUAUUUACUCUCCAGAGAAAACUUAAAGUUUCUGAAGAUAAAAAGAAUGAAGCCAUUUGUACUACCAAAUACCUAGAGGCAGAAAAAGUAAAAAUCAAUGAAAAGCCUCAAAAUGAUGCUGAAUGCUUAAGACUUAAGAAAGAAUUAGAACUUUGUAAGGAAGACGACAUGCAAAGUGCUUAUGAAGCUCUCCAAACAGAAAUAGAAUUUCUGGAGUUGACAUUGGCACAGAAAGAUCUUCAGGAAAACAAAUAACUUGUGGAGAAUUGACCAAAGCUAUCCAAGAUGCAGAGAGAAGUUAACCAGGUACCAGGGCUGUUUAAACUGCCUCUUCUCCAAUGGUGGCCACUGCUUCCUCCUUCCCAGCAAGUGGAGUUCUGGAGGUCAGAAGUGUGACGUGGGCCUCACUGGACUGAAAGCGAGAUGUCAGAGCUGCGUUCCUUCGGAGGCUCUAGGGUUUGAGAACCACACCACUCCAAGCAAAAGACUGGAAUAUCCUUCUCUGAGGAAGCUCAACAGAAAAGACUUAAGGAAAGAAAGUUUUCAAUGAAACAGUCCAGCCAGAUCACUCUAGAGUGAAAUUCACAGCUGACAAGUACCACCCAUGUGUCCAGAAAUUUUAAAACAUUUUACAGCCUCAUUCUUAAAUGGAAUCAAUCAAUAUCCACAAGACAUGCCUUUAACAAGAAGAGGACGUAUCCAAACAAAUAGGGGGAAAAGCAACUUGGAAGACAGUAUGCGGGGAAGUGAAAACUUCAAAAAAAUCCUUGAUAUCCUGAGAUAUGAGAAGAUAUUUGCCAUUAUAAGAUGUAAAUAAAUGAAAUUUAAAAUGUUAGCAGAAGAUUUUUAAAAUAAAAGAGCUAAAAGGUAAAGUUGAGGAGAAGUCCCAGAAAGUAGAGCAUAAAAACAAAAAAGAGGAAAACUAGGAGAGAAAGGUAAAUGUUGAGAAUCAGUUCAUUUUGUUCAAUAUCUAAAUAAUAGGAGUUUGGAAAGAGAACAGAAAAAGCAGAGAAAUUUUUCAAGAAUUAAAGGACCUGAGUUUUUAGAUUGAAAGAACCCAUUAAGAGCCUAAUGGAAUCAAUGCAUAGACCUGCUGUCCAAAUGGCAUCAUCACAAGAUUUUAGAGUAUGAAAGACAAAAGUAAGAUCCUGUGAACUUACAAAGUGAAAACUAGGUCACCUCCAAGGGAUCAGGAGUCAGAAUGCUUUGAACUUCUCAACAAUAUUAGGAUGACUGAUCCAACAAUUGGUUUACCAAUUCACAAGAGAGGUAAUGAGAAUCUUAUAGAUAAGGAGACGAUAACUCCCAGGAUCAAAGCUGUGCAUCAGCCUGGAGAGCAACCGACCUGAAUGAGAAUAGCCUCUAGAGAGGUGUUUCCAAAGUGGAAUUUCUACGAUACUUACAUGUUGGAAAUAUUGAGAGGAACUUGAAACAACUGGAGUAGAGUUUUGGUCAGUGCUAAGUAUAUAGAAAACUCAGUAAAUAAAUUAAAUCACAAGAAUAUUACUAACUCCAGAGAAAACAAAAAGGUGUGCAAGGAAGGAUGAGUAAUACCAACCAUAAUCCUACACAGCUUGUCUGUACAUAUUUUCAUAAUCAUAUCAGUGUAAACAUUGACUAUUGAUCUAACUAAAGUAUAACACAAUGUUGGAAGGCUAGAGGUGGGAAGAAAUGUGUUUGUGAUGAUGGUAGAUGUUUUAUGGGAAAAAAGACUAAAUUCAUAUCCUCCAUGUAGAAAAUCAGCAGAUAAUGCCAAAACUGGAAGAAGAAAAAAAAAAAAGCAUGUUAUUUAGUGACAUGAAAGCAAAUUCAAAAAUUAAUAGCCACAGGGCCGCCUGGGUCACUUUGGCUCAGGUCAUGAUCUCAAGGUUCGUGGGUUCGAGCCCCACGUUGGGCUCUGUGCUGACAGCUCAGAGCCUGGAGCCUGUUUCAGAUUCUGUGUCUCCCUCUCUCUCGCUGCUCCUCCUCUACUCAUGCUCUCUCUCUGCGUGUCUCUCAAAAAUAAAUAAACAUAAAAAAAAUUAACAGCCAAAAAAGUUGAAGUUACUGCCUGGCAGCAGUAAAGGGGAGCCAGCAAGGAGAGAUUGAUAGUCUAUGUUAAUACAAAUAAUCUUUAUAAAACUAUUUUUUGGGAAGUUUGCUUUGUUUAUGGACCAUAACUCUAAACAUGACAUGCAAAGUAGAUCUUUAUUUUAAUAUAAAUCAAAUACGGUGACGUGCUAGUAAACCAGUUCUCUGAGACGAUAGGGGUGGGAGGAGCCCUGAUUUGUAAUGUGUUGUAAAGGCUACCACCAUGGCCAAUUUCAAGAUAACAAUAGCUUCACAGCUGGCUCACAAAGUUCCUAAAAUACAACAAUGGGCUCAUGCAAGGCAGUAUAAAUCAGCUUAUAAUGACUUCAGUAAAAGUACAUGUUUUUGUUUUUGUUUUUAAAGGAAAAAAGUCCUCUCUGGCUUACGUGAAAAGCACACUGUUGCUGUGUGAAACAAGGCUCUCCCUAUUUUUUUGCAGUUGUUUUUUCUUUAAAUUUAAGUCACCGUUUGAGAUGUAAUUCAUAUACAAUAAAAUGCACAGAUUUUGAGUGGAGUUUGAUAAGUGUUUACCGAUGGAAGCACUCAUGUAAUCUCUACACAAAGCAAGGGAUAGAACAAUUUCAUUUAUAGUUAUUGACUGGAUGGAAUCAGUAAUUUUAAGAAUAUUGGAUAUUGGGGAUAGAGCUUUAAUGGAUAACUUACAGUCUAUAGUAAUCCACCACAGAAUGUGCUUAAUUUUUUUCCAUGUAAAAAUGUAAAAACAGGCAAAAAUUGGACUAUUAAAUGGAGAAGCGGUGAGAUGAUCAAUCCUUUAUUAAUUAGGCUUUAUAUAAUAAGUUUCUAUCUUUGAAAGUUUUGUUUUAAUGUACGCUGGAACAAAUUAAA